AGAUUAAGUUAUUAAGGGCGCACGGUGGAUGCCUUGGCACUAGAAGCCGAUGAAGGACGUUACUAACGACGAUAUGCUUUGGGGAGCUGUAAGUAAGCUUUGAUCCAGAGAUUUCCGAAUGGGGAAACCCAGCAUGAGUUAUGUCAUGUUAUCGAUAUGUGAAUACAUAGCAUAUCAGAAGGCACACCCGGAGAACUGAAACAUCUUAGUACCCGGAGGAAGAGAAAGAAAAUUCGAUUCCCUUAGUAGCGGCGAGCGAAACGGGAAGAGCCCAAACCAACAAGCUUGCUUGUUGGGGUUGUAGGACACUCUAUACGGAGUUACAAAGGACGACAUUAGACGAAUCAUCUGGAAAGAUGAAUCAAAGAAGGUAAUAAUCCUGUAGUCGAAAAUGUUGUCUCUCUUGAGUGGAUCCUGAGUACGACAAAACACGUGAAAUUCCGUCGGAAUCUGGGAGGACCAUCUCCUAAGGCUAAAUACUCUCUAGUGACCGAUAGUGAACCAGUACCGUGAGGGAAAGGUGAAAAGCACCCCGGAAGGGGAGUGAAAUAGAACCUGAAACCGUGUGCUUACAAGUAGUCAGAGCCCGUUAAUGGGUGAUGGCGUGCCUUUUGUAGAAUGAACCGGCGAGUUACGAUUUGAUGCAAGGUUAAGCAGUAAAUGUGGAGCCGUAGCGAAAGCGAGUCUGAAUAGGGCGUUUAGUAUUUGGUCGUAGACCCGAAACCAGGUGAUCUACCCUUGGUCAGGUUGAAGUUCAGGUAACACUGAAUGGAGGACCGAACCGACUUACGUUGAAAAGUGAGCGGAUGAACUGAGGGUAGCGGAGAAAUUCCAAUCGAACCU
rnacentral:rRNA from 1 species